rnacentral:lncRNA from 1 species
AACACAGAUAGCAAUGAGCAGUAUGCAGACCUCAAGAUAAAGGAGAUCAGAGGGCUGUGGAAGGGAAUUUCCCAAACACAAAUACCAGUCUGCUGAGGUAGCUCUUUCAACAGAUUUCCUCGAAAGAACCAACUCAAAGUCAAUCUACUGAAAAAAUGCCAAAAUAAAUUUGAAGGCACAUUUUAUUGCUGACAUGUUAAAAUAUAUUCUCUACCUUUGUACACACAGCUGAAGAACUCACAUGAGGUUAGGCAAAUAUUGCAGAGGGAGUAUUGAAUUAAAGACUAUGUGACUACAAAGUAUUUUUGAUAGAUAAGAAUAAAACAAAGUCACAAAUAUAUAUAUAAUUAUAAAGGUGUAUAUCUUAGGAAUCUAAAUGAAGAAGAGUAUCACUUUCUAGCCACAGUUUGGUUGAAAAAAAUAAAAUAUAGUAUUUCGGUAUUGUUUUUUUUCAGUUAAAAUGUAGAAAACAAGAGUAACAGAAAAUGACAGUUGAAAGACUCAGCGUCCAUCCAAUCAUCACCAUAUUUCAUAGAUAAGGGGAUUGAAAUGGAGAAUUAAGAGAACUAUUUUAUGUCAAAGAAGAAUUUAGAGUUGGAACCAGAACAGAAAUUGGACUUCCCUGGGCACAUUGCAUUGAUGUGUUUCUAUUUUGUACAUCUCCUGGAAUUGAGGAGGUGGGUAUGUGUAGCCAAUAGAACUGUGUGUAGAGAAGCAUCUGGAGGCACAGACAAGCUUACGCAUGCCCACAAGCAGCCAUCAUUGACUUGUUGAUACAUGAGGCCAAAACUCUUUAAACAUCAGUUGUGCUUCCCUUGCAAAUAAUCAGAAGCAAACAACUGACCACUUUUCCCGUCUAACUCAGAUUUCCGCUUGUGGAGUACUUUUAUCUUAAGCGAAUUCCCAGUCUGUGAGAAUGGGGAGUCAGAACAAUAAAGCUGAGCUACUUAGAUCUAUAUAUGUGCCACUUAGUCCAUGGUGCUUCACUUGUAAAAGUGAAACAGUGUCUCGCUUGUAAAAAUGAGGUGUGCUUUGCAAAUGAAAACCAGGCAUUCCACUGGGAUAUAAAAAGGUAAACUUGGACUUGCUGGGUUGAAAGAUGAAAAGAAGAAUCAGUGAAUUUCAAAAAGAAAAUGUUUAAAGUAGAGACUAGUAAAAAGUUUAAAUUUCCAAUUUACAUAUCAUAAUUUUCUAUAUAGUAAUUCAAAUUAUUUUUGUAUACAUGAGUUUCAUAUGCCAAUGAUUUGUUACAUCUUUCAAAAACAAAAUAGCAGGAUCUUCCUAGAAAAGUGAACUAUAAUAUUUAUUAUAAAUUAGUCAAGAAGAUGUUUUCUUUUAGGUAACUUUUAGUAAUAAUAUCAUUCACUUAAUACUUUCCUACUAAGCACUUACAGAUUAUAUUUUAAGAGAGAUUGUCCCUUUUCUGAAGUGGAAGAGAUCCUAUUCUCUAACUUAUUAUUAUUAUUAUUUUGUCUUUUUGCCAUUUCUAGGGCCACUCCCACGGCAGAUGGAGGUUCCCAGGCUAGGGGUCUAAUCAGAGCUGUAGCCACCAGCCUAUGCCAGAGCCACAGCAACACAGGAUUCGAGCCGCAUCUGCAACCUACACCACAGGUCACGGGCAACGCCAGAUCAUUAACCCACUGAGUAAGGCCAGGGAUCAAACCCGAAACCUCAUGGUUCCUGGUCGGAUUCAUUAACCACUGCGCCACAACGGGAACUCCUUCUGGUGCUAUAGCAACAUCCUCCCAAAAAUUACAGACAAGGAGAGAGACAUGAUAAUCAGAAAGAGGUAAGUACUACAUAGGGAAAAUGUUACCAGGCUGUUGUCCUGUCAUACCCCUGCACCUCCCUUGAAUGGAAAUUGAACUUUUCUGAGUUUCAGGCCUAAUUACAAAAGGAGAAAUCUUCAAGGAGAAAAGCAAGAACUGGUUAGAACCAGCUAGGACCCAAUUGGCCAAAGACCAGAACUUAAGCAGAUCUUGAGCCUCAUUAUAAGCUCACUGUAAUACAUUAGCAUGGUAAAAUGACACACCCACCAGUGCUACUGCCAUGACACCAACCAGAAGAGCCCAUACAAGGAUGGAAAAGAAGGGCUGCCUCUGUUGUGGGUCCAAACCACAACGUUGUUCUCAGACAAGUCAUGAAUAUUCCUCCCUUUCCAGUCAAUUCCCUCUCUUUCCCUGGAUCCUCAUAUACAGAUGGUGUCUUAACCCCAGUUGGGUUGAAAGUUGGUUUACUAAGUUCCCACUUCUACAUUCCUUGACCAUUGAAUGAAGCUUGUGCCAUUCUACUGUCAGCAUCAGUUCUGUUUUUGGCUGCGUGAAUCCAAGAGGAAAAAGAACUCCCCAGCCAUGACAAGGAGCCUGGGCUUGGACUAGGACUCUGGCGUCAGUUCAGAUAACUCAGUAACAAAAGAUUACUGAACUAAGAGAUUAUUAUUUCUAUCACUACAGAUUAUAAUACAAUUCAAGAGUUAGCUGGCUGGUAAAGGGAAGAAAGCCUUUCAAAUAGGGGGAGCAGCAUGUGCUAUGACUCAGCUUUAAAAGAAUCUGGUUUAGUUAAGGCUUUAAAAGAAGGCAAGAAGUGUAGCUGAAAUUUUACUAGGGAGAAAGUGUUAUAAUAUUGUCCUGGAGAGGAAGGAAGAAGUCAGAUCAUGAAGGACCUUGUGAGUCUGGUUGAAGAAUUUAUAAUGGGGUACAUUCUCAAUAUUUAAUAUAAAUUAGUAACAUAAAAUGACCUAAAAUGCUGGAAUGACCCAAUAAGUUAUUUCAAAAAUUCUCCCUUUAUUGGUUUUGAAGAAGGAGUAGUAAAAGAGGACAAGAAUGGAAGAUAGGAGGCCAAAUAAGCUAUACUGUAAUAUUGACUUAAAGAAAAGUGGUGGCAAAAUAGAUCAAGAAGAAUGCAUUCUUGAGACAUAGUUUGGAGGGUGAAUUGACAAUAUUUAGUGGUGGGGGUGAAAUACCUUUUGAAAACUACUCCUAAGCAUUAGAAUUUGGGAAAAGGAAGGUAUUGUUUGCUGAGAAAUAAAAGAGUUUAAGUAUGAAAAUAUUUGGGAGAAAAAUUAAAGGUUCAGUUUGUAUAUGUUAAAUUGAGGGUAUCUUUGAAAAAUCCAAGUGCAAAAGUCAAGCAGGCAGUUGAAUAAAGAAAUGCUUAUUUUGUGUGAAUCUUAUUGAAGGUUUUCAACCUCCUUUCGAAUCUGAGUAGCUAAAACUGUGUAGAUUGAUGAGAAUUGUUGUAAGGUUGGAAUGAAUUCGAGUCAGUGUCCAUAAUUCGAAAAGACACAUGCACCCAAAUGUUCAUUGUAGCACUAUUUACAAUAGCCACGAUGUGGAAGCAACCUAGAUUUCCACUGAUGGAGGAAUGGAUAAAGAAGGUGUGGUACAUAUAUUCAAUGGACUAUUAUUCAGCCAUAAAAAGAAUGAAAUAAAGCCAUUUGCAGUAAAGUGGAUGGACCUAGAGAUUAUCAUACUGAGUGAAACAAGUCAGACAAAGACAAAUAUCAUAUGGUAUCACUUAUAUGCUGAAUCCAAUAAAAAUGAUACAAAAGAAUUUACUUAUUUAUAAAACAGAAACAGAGAUUUCAAAACUGUGGAAAGUAACGUAAUGUCUUUUCUAUCAAAGGAACUCUUGGUUACUACAUUUUGCUCUGGUUUUAGCUGAAACGCCUUCCUGCGACACCCCCUCCUCUUUCCCUCUUUUCCCAGUAACUAUUUGUUUUAUAUUAACCAACUGAGAAGAAUGUGUGCCCCGAUGUGACAAAUGGGAAGGGGACAGGUACAUCACCUGCAUUAGGGAUAAAUAGGGAGGGUCUUUUCUUCUUUGUGCAUGCUUCUUUAGUACUCACACCCUUCUGCAGAAGUAAAGAGCCUUUUCAAGAUCUCUCCUUGUUCAUGUGUCUCAUUUUCCAACACUGACAAUCUGAGCCAUCUCCCCAACAGAUUUGGGGGUUCAUCUGGGAUUUGGGGUCCACGGGAACACGGAUUCUCGAGGAGGGGCCAUACGUCCCAUGGCCUGUUGCAGUGGCCUGUGAACUUCAAACCCGUGGAGGGUUCUUGACAACGCGAGAAAUUGUGUGAACAGGCAACUUCGGUUAACAGACCAAGGUAGGAAAGAUCCUUGGUGGUUGGGGAAGGGGGUUGGUAAGCCUCAAAGGGUCUUGGGUGAGACUGGUGAUUUUGAGUGAAAUUGUAAAAUUGGAGCAUGACCCUCAAAAGUCUCAGGUGAGACAGGUGAUAUUGGGUGAAAUCAGAGGAUCAGAACAUGAUCCUGGAAAUGGGAAGUAAGUCUUCCCAACAUGUACCUCCACUUGGAGGAUCGAAUGGGGGAGGGGGCCAAAUUCCUCCAGACAGUCCUCUGGGAUUGAUAUUAAAGUAUCAGGGCGAUAAUCCACAGGCAAAGGACAAAAAGAAGGGAAGAAUGAUUAAAUAUUGUUAUUUUAUCUGAACACAGACAACUAUUCUUGCUCCAUCCAUCUUUUGGCCAAAGUUCAGAUCAGAUGAGGAUUGGGUCUGUCAGUGCCUUAUUCAGUUUGUCCAGGACAAGUCACCAGGGUCUCAGGAGGGAACUUAUUAUGCUCUUUGUUGGCGGUGGGGACGGGUGGUCUUAUUUCCCCUCAGAGCAUGGGACCAAAAGGGAAAUGAGGAGGAAACCCAAGAACAUUCUGGGAUCUCCUCCCUUCCAUGGGACACCCUUGGCUCGCUGCCACCACCUUACAAUCCCCAAAAUGGUGCUCACCCACCUCCAGCCACAGCCGCUGCUGCUGUCACUGCCAGGGGAGCACAGGAGGGGGAGGGGUGCAGAACCCACCACCCAGGCACAAGGACACUGCCUCUGCUGAUGGAAUUAGAACAGGAGGGUUAGGCCGCAGGCACAAGCUCUUUCUCUGGCCCAGCCCAUGGGAUCAGAGCCUUGACAAAACCAAAGGAUAUGGCACGGCCUUAUUCCAGACUUAGGCGAGAGUUAAAACAGUAUCAGGAGUUCCCGUCUUGGCACAGUGGAAGCAAAUCCGACUAGGAACCAUGAGGUUGAGGGUUCCAUCCCUGGCCCUGCUUGGUGGGUUAAGGAUCGUGUUUUGCUGUGAGCUGUGGUGUAGGUCACAGACACAGCUCAGAUUUGGCAUUGCUGUGGCUGUGGUGCAGGCUGGUGGCUACGGCUCUUAUUAGACCCCUAGCCUGGGAACCUCCGUAGGCUGUGGGUGUGGUCCUCAAAAUACAAAAUAAUAAGCAAAAAGAAAAAAAAAAAAAGAGGAUUGGAAAGAUAAACCAUUAGAAGAAGCUUCAUUGUCAAUUUGUAUUGCACUCAGAUUUAAAUGUGCCUUAAGUCUCUUCUCACUGUUAGUAAAUGGCUUUAUUCUGAUAGCUUUGCAAAAAUGUUUCCUCUUCUAGAAGAUCUAUAGAAAGAACUUUUUUUUUUUAAGAAAUACAAGUUUCUGACUUCCAGACCUUAAUGAUGAGCUGAGUAAGAAAUUAAAAUAAAAAUUCUAAAAGGAAAAUUGAUGAUUUAAUAAACAGUUAAACAAAAAGGAUUGGUUACAUUGGACUAUGUGAACUGGUGAAUAUGGUUAUAAUUUUAUGGUUUCUAUUUAAAAUAGUAUUGGCUUUUAAUCUGUGUUUUCCAGGUGUAAAGAAAUUCUCCUGAACAAGCAAUUUGGUAAACUAUACCUUUGUAAGCAGAACUGAAAUAUUUCUCUCUUGUCUACCUGAUUUCUUCAGAGAAUGGAAACUCUCAGAUUCCCAGAAGCUUAAUCAGAUAAUUAGGAAGGCCACUUUGUAUGUAGCCUGUAAAAACCUUAAGGUAUCUGGGUUUUUAAAAGGGAAGGAUUUCACCAAGAUCUUUAAGAUAAAAAUCUUUAAGACAAACCCUUGGCAUGACUUUCCUAGCCCUGAUGUGCCUUUUAAAAGCUUAGUCUAAGAUUCCUCAUAAAGUUCUAACAAAGCCAAUUAAAAAAAAAAGAAAACCUCUAUGAUAAAUUUUAUUCAUGUAAACCAUCAGGCUGAGGUUGUUGAUGCCAGAUUUAAUUGGCAAAUAAAUUAGUCUUGGUUUGGAUAAUAUUUGAUAAAAAUGAGAAUAAUUUAAGAGAGAAAGAGAUGUUUCACCCACUAAAUCUGUUAAUCUCAUUCUUUUAAUUGUGGUCAGUAUCACUAAGACUUACUUCCUAGAUAGUUUGUUGCUAUUAUGUUAUAUUGCCCCAAAGUUUAACUGAGCUUCUAAAAGAACAUUCUAAGCUUGUUUCUAAAGUUUAUCUCAGUAAUCUAUUUUUGGAUAAAGAUCAGAUGCCCCUAAACCUGCAACAAGGGGACUAUGCAUACCAAAAAGAACAUAAUAUAAAAGGACUAUUUCCAAGCUUGUGGAGGAAGAUUCCCAAUAACUUACUAUGGAGCCAGGAGGAGGUACAACAAUUUAGGGAUUUAAGAGAGGUGCUGACAGGUGCCCCUCUUCUGGCUCUACCAUCCUUUUGAAAACUCCUUUCAUUUAUUUGUAAGCAUGGGCUGGGGAAUGGCUCUAAGUGUCCUCACACAGAAACAUGGGG